UACUUCAUGUAUGUGUCUAAACAUUCGAUGUAACAGGGUAAAAAGUUUUUGUUUGGGAACUAAACAUCACCUUAGGGCUUAGGGCAUGUUUAGAUCCCCUGGCAAAAUUUUACAACAUGUCAUAUCGAAUGUUUGGACACAUAUGAGAAU
rnacentral:misc_RNA from 1 species